rnacentral:rRNA from 1 species
AGAGUUUGAUCCUGGCUCAGGAUGAACGCUAGCUACAGGCUUAACACAUGCAAGUCGCGGGGCAGCAUGUCGGUUGCUUGCAACCGAUGAUGGCGACCGGCGCACGGGUGAGUAACGCGUAUCCAACCUGCCCAUAACUAAGGGAUAAUCCGUAGAAAUGCGGUCUAAUACCUUAUGUGUUCCGACGAAGACAUCUGAAUUGGAAUAAAGAUUUAUCGGUUAUGGAUGGGGAUGCGUCUGAUUAGAUUGUUGGCGGGGCAACGGCCCACCAAGUCUGCGAUCAGUAGGGGUUCUGAGAGGAAGGUCCCCCACAUUGGAACUGAGACACGGUCCAAACUCCUACGGGAGGCAGCAGUGAGGAAUAUUGGUCAAUGGGCGGGAGCCUGAACCAGCCAAGUAGCGUGCAGGAUGACGGCCCUACGGGUUGUAAACUGCUUUUGGAGGGGAAUAAAGUGUGCGACGUGUCGCAUAUUGCAUGUACCCUCAGAAUAAGGACCGGCUAAUUCCGUGCCAGCAGCCGCGGUAAUACGGAAGGUCCGGGCGUUAUCCGGAUUUAUUGGGUUUAAAGGGAGCGCAGGCCGGCUGUCAAGCGUGACGUGAAAUGUCCCGGCUCAACCGGGGAGUUGCGUCGCGAACUGGUUGGCUUGAGUGCGGACGAGGUAUGCGGAAUUCGUGGUGUAGCGGUGAAAUGCUUAGAUAUCACGAAGAACCCCGAUUGCGAAGGCAGCGUACCAGGCCGUAACUGACGCUAAUGCUCGAAGGUGCGGGUAUCGAACAGGAUUAGAUACCCUGGUAGUCCGCACGGUAAACGAUGGAUGCCCGCUGUUUGCCAUUGAGGUAAGCGGCCAAGCGAAAGCAUUAAGCAUCCCACCUGGGGAGUACGCCGGCAACGGUGAAACUCAAAGGAAUUGACGGGGGCCCGCACAAGCAGUGGAGUAUGUGGUUUAAUUCGAAGCAACGCGAAGAACCUUACCUGGUCUUGACAUCCCGAUGACCGUCCUGGAGACAGGGCUUUCUCUUCGGAGACAACGGAGACAGGUGGUGCAUGGUUGUCGUCAGCUCGUGUCGUGAGAUGUUGGGUUAAGUCCCGCAACGAGCGCAACCCUUAUUGUUAGUUGAUACAUGUAAAGAUGAUCACUCUAGCGAGACUGCCGUUGACAAAACGGAGGAAGGUGGGGACGACGUCAAAUCAGCACGGCCCUUACGUCCGGGGCUACACACGUGUUACAAUGGGUGGUACAGAAAGCGGGAGUGUCGCAAGUCACUCCGAAUCCUGAAAGCCAUCCUCAGUUCGGAUUGGGGUCUGCAACCCGACCCCAUGAAGCUGGAUUCGCUAGUAAUCGCGCAUCAGCCAUGGCGCGGUGAAUACGUUCCCGGGCCUUGUACACACCGCCCGUCAAGCCAUGAAAGCCUGGGGCGCCUGAAGUCCGUGACCGCGAGGGUCGGCCUAGGGUGAAACAGGUGAUUGGGGCUAAGUCGUAACAAGGUAACCGUAA